CAAGCAAGGGAUGCUUCGGAGGAAGGUGCAAGAAACUCCACAACAGGCAGAUGUGGGGCGACCUCCCUCCCUCCCUCCAGCCCACGAAGUGCUCAUCCUGAGAACUAAUAGAUUGGUUUAAUCCCUGAAAUCCGGUGUUUGGCUCUAUAAAGGAAACACAAGUGAGAUCAAACCAAGAGGCUUCCCUUUGUGCGAGCUGGUCGCAGACUGAGAGAUCGGAGAUGGCUGGAUGCCACGUCCCACCUGAGCACCCCAACGUUUGGAUUUGAAAGCCUUUCUGUGUGCAGCUUCACAAAAUGGAGAGAAAAUUUCUCUUUUGGGACCAGAGUGGGAAAUGCCAAUACAAUCAAGGGCUCUUCCAACACUAACGCAUUCACUGGCAGCACAUCGGAUGGGUCCCUACCUGUGACUGCACGUUGGCUCCAACCUGGGCCCCUUGGUAAGAAUCCCCAUUGAGUGACUGCACGCUCAUGAACAAAUCUCCAGAGUUUGACAUGUUAAAAGAACUGGAAGAACCUGGAAAGGAAAGAGUGAGGCACCUGAAUCAUAGAAAGGAAAAGGAUCCACCCCGCAACUCUCAGCCAAGAGGAAGGAACAACAUGCAAAGCAACCCCAAAACGAAAACAAAACACACAGUAGGUUAGUAGUAUGAAGAACAGAGCAAGCAAAAAAAAAAAAGGGUGCAAACUUGAGGUUAUACAAAGCCACACAUUAUUACAUCUCAACAUAAGGCUUGUCCUUUAACAGCUUCCCAACUUGGGGGGCAGGAGGUGGAUAUUUUCAAAACCCAGCCUAGGGGACUGGGAUGCCCAAUUCCCAUUCAUCUGAGCACAUCCAAAACCUUUAGGCAGUUUUGUGCAGCUUAGUGCAUAAAGGGCGGAUUGUUUACGCGCCCCUGGGACAGAACUCCCACAGAUGUUCAUAGAAGGUCUGCUGGUGAGCCGAGUGUGGAAUGUGCUUUCGAGGAGGUUAGGUUAUAAAAGAAGGUAUGCUGCUCCCUCCACGAUAAAUCCAUUACUGGACAACUUCAUCAGGUGGGGCUAGCAGCCAUCUAUGAGCUAAGGUUCACGAGGACGGGAAGGCAUCGCAUAGCCUUCUCUUAACAUCCUUUGGCAUCCCACACUUCCAUUCUGGCAGAUUAUAGUCAUUAGUUAGGCAACACAAGCACCCACGAUGGCCCAUCAGAGGAUCUCCUACCCCUUUCCAUGCCAGCUGCCUAGCAACAGUGAACUCUGCAAGCAAAUUACAGACCAGGGAUCCCUCCGCAUGCACUAGUCGCCACUGCUAAUAAUAGAGACAACUGGGUGGGCCAGAAAAAUGUCUUUGCAGAAACAAGGUUUUCUGCUUCCAUCUCUGAGGCACCUGACCACCUCCCCCGCCCACUGACCAGAGGGAACAAAACCACUGCACAACUGGAACGCGUGGAAAAAAAUGGU